rnacentral:misc_RNA from 1 species
AAUUCUCAAGCCCCUUGGUUUUGUUUUGCAAAACUAAAUGGGGCUUGGAUUAUGGAGGUAUUGCCGGCCUGAAACAGGUCAGCUUCUCUGAAAUAUAUUAGUGGAACUGUUUGCAAUCCGUUACUGGCGUGAUAAUUAUCUGCACCAGUGGGUUGCUCUCAUUGUUUCGCUGCUAACUGUCUGUAAGGACAAAACUCAAUACUGAAU